rnacentral:rRNA from 1 species
GAUGAACGCUAGCGGCAGGCCUAAUACAUGCAAGUCGGACGGGAUCCAUUGAUAGCUUGCUAUCAAUGGUGAGAGUGGCGCACGGGUGCGUAACGCGUGAGCAACCUGCCUCCAUCAGGGGGAUAGCCUCUCGAAAGAGAGAUUAACACCGCAUGAUAUCAACAGUUCGCAUGUUCAGUUGAUUAAAUAUUUAUAGGAUGGAGAUGGGCUCGCGUGACAUUAGCUAGUUGGUAGGGUAACGGCUUACCAAGGCGACGAUGUCUAGGGGCUCUGAGAGGAGAAUCCCCCACACUGGUACUGAGACACGGACCAGACUCCUACGGGAGGCAGCAGUAAGGAAUAUUGGUCAAUGGGCGGAAGCCUGAACCAGCCAUGCCGCGUGCAGGAUGACUGCCCUAUGGGUUGUAAACUGCUUUUGUCCAGGAAUAAACCUAAAUACGAGUAUUUAGCUGAAUGUACUGGAAGAAUAAGGAUCGGCUAACUCCGUG